CCAGACUCCUACGGGAGGCAGCAGUGAGGAAUAUUGGUCAAUGGACGAAAGUCUGAACCAGCCAUGCCGCGUGCAGGAAGACGGCUCUAUGAGUUAUAAACUGCUUUUGUACAAGGGUAAACCUGAAUACGUGUAUUCAGCUGAAAGUACUGUACGAAUAAGGACCGGCUAACUACGUGCCAGCAGCCGCGGUCAUACGUAGGGUCCAAGCAUUAUCCGGAGUGACUGGGUGUAAAGAGUUGCGUAGGUGGCAUAAUAAGUAACUAGUGAAAUCUGGUGGCUCAACCAUUCAGACUAUUAGUUAAACUGUUAAGCUCGAGACCGUGAGGGGUAACUGGAAUUUCUAGUGUAGGAGUGAAAUCCGUAGAUAUUAGAAGGAACACCGAUAGCGUAGGCAGGUUACUGGGACGGUUCUGACACUAAGGCACGAAAGCGUAGGGAGCAAACGGGAUUAGAUACCCCUGUAAA
rnacentral:rRNA from 1 species